rnacentral:rRNA from 1 species
AGGCAGCAGUUAGGAAUAUUGGACAAUGGGCGAAAGCCUGAUCCAGCCAUGCCGCGUGUGUGAAGAAGGCCUUUUGGUUGUAAAGCACUUUAAGCGAGGAGGAGGCUACUUAGAUUAAUACUCUAGGAUAGUGGACGUUACUCGCAGAAUAAGCACCCGCUAACUCUGUGCCAGCAGCCGCGGUAAUACAGAGGGUGCGAGCGUUAAUCGGAUUUACUGGGCGUAAAGCGUGCGUAGGCGGCUUCUUAAGUCGGAUGUGAAAUCCCUGAGCUUAACUUAGGAAUUGCAUUCGAUACUGGGAAGCUAGAGUAUGGGAGAGGAUGGUAGAAUUCCAGGUGUAGCGGUGAAAUGCGUAGAGAUCUGGAGGAAUACCGAUGGCGAAGGCAGCCAUCUGGCAUAAUACUGACGCUGAGGUACGAAAGCAUGGGGAGCAAACAGGAUUAGAUACCCUAGUAGUCC